GGAAUAUAGCUCAGUGGUAUAGUGCCUGCCUGGCAAGCAUGAGGUCCUGAGUUUGAUUCCCUGUACCA
rnacentral:tRNA from 1 species